rnacentral:rRNA from 1 species
CCCGCGUGAAGGAAGACUGCCCUAUGGGUUGUAAACUUCUUUUCUGUUCCAAGAACGUGCCCUACGUGUAGGGCAGUGACGGUAGGACAGGAAUAAGCAUCGGCUAACUCCGUGCCAGCAGCCGCGGUAAUACGGAGGAUGCGAGCGUUAUCCGGAUUCAUUGGGUUUAAAGGGUGCGUAGGCGGCUUCUUAAGUCAGUGGUGAAAUCCUGCGGCUCAACCGUAGAACUGCCAUUGAAACUGGGGGGCUUGAAUACAGAUGAAGUAGGCGGAAUGAGUAGUGUAGCGGUGAAAUGCAUAGAUAUUACUCAGAACACCGAUUGCGUAGGCAGCUUACUAAACUG